UGGGGAAUUUUGCACAAUGGGGGAAACCCUGAUGCAGCGACGCCGCGUGAUUUAGAAGGCCUUCGGGUUGUAAAAAUCUUUUUUAUGGGAGGAAAAUGACAGUACCAUAAGAAUAAGGUCCGGCUAAAUACGUGCCAGCAGCCGCGGUAAUACGUAUGGACCGAGCGUUGUCCGGAAUCAUUGGGCGUAAAGGGUACGUAGGCGGCCCAGUAAGUUAGAAGUGAAAUAAUAUAGCUCAACUAUAUAAAGCUUUUAAAACUGCUAGGCUUGAGAGAUGGAAGGGAAAGUGGAAUUCCUAGUGUAGCGGUGAAAUGCGCAGAUAUUAGGAAGAAUACCGGUGGCGAAGGCGACUUUCUGGUCAUCAUCUGACGCUGAGGUACGAAAGCGUGGGUAGCAAACAGG
rnacentral:rRNA from 1 species